UACGGAGGAUGCGAGCGUUAUCCGGAUUUAUUGGGUUUAAAGGGUGCGUAGGCGGAUUUUUAAGUCAGCGGUAAAAUGUCCGGGCUCAACCCGGGCCGGCCGUUGAAACUGGGGAUCUUGAGUGGGCGAGAAGUAUGCGGAAUGCGUGGUGUAGCGGUGAAAUGCAUAGAUAUCACGCAGAACUCCGAUUGCGAAGGCAGCAUACCGGCGCCCGACUGACGCUGAGGCACGAAGGCGUGGGGAUCGAACAGG
rnacentral:rRNA from 1 species